rnacentral:rRNA from 1 species
UCAUCAUUCCCUUUAUGCCCUGGCUACACACGUGCUACAACGGAAGGUACAAAGGGGAGCAAGAUAGUGAUAUUAAGCAAACCUCAAAAAGCCUUUCUCAGUUCGGAUUGUACUCUGCAACUCGAGUACAUGAAGAUGGAGUUGCUAGUAAUCGCAGAUCAGAAUGCUGCGGGGAAUGCGUUCCCGGGUCUUGUACACACCGCCCGUCACACCAUGGGAGCUUGUAAUACCCGAAGCCUGUGAGCAAACCGCAAGUAGCAGCAGUCGAAGGUAGGAUAAGUGACUGGGGUGAAGUCGUAACAAGGUAGCCGUAUCGGAA